rnacentral:rRNA from 1 species
UACGUAGGGGGCAAGCGUUGUCCGGAUUUAUUGGGCGUAAAGAGCGUGUAGGCGGCCAUACAGGUCCGUUGUGAAAACUGGAGGCUUAACCUCCAGACGUCGAUGGAAACCGUUUGGCUAGAGUCCGGAAGAGGAGAGUGGAAUUCCUGGUGUAGCGGUGAAAUGCGCAGAUAUCAGGAAGAACACCCGUGGCGAAGGCGGCUCUCUGGGACGGUACUGACGCUGAGACGCGAAAGCGUGGGGAGCGAACAGG